UACGGGGGGGGCAAGCGUUGUUCGGAAUUACUGGGCGUAAAGGGCUCGUAGGCGGCCAACUAAGUCAGACGUGAAAUCCCUCGGCUUAACCGGGGAACUGCAUCUGAUACUGGAUGGCUUGAGUUCGGGAGAGGGAUGCGGAAUUCCAGGUGUAGCGGUGAAAUGCGUAGAGAUGUGGAGGAACACCAGUGGCGAAGGCGACUCUCUGGUCUGUAACUGACGCUGAGGAGCGAAAGCGUGGGGAGCAAACAGG
rnacentral:rRNA from 1 species